rnacentral:rRNA from 1 species
UAGGGAAUCUUCCACAAUGGACGCAAGUCUGAUGGAGCAACGCCGCGUGAGUGAAGAAGGGUUUCGGCUCGUAAAGCUCUGUUGGUAGUGAAGAAAGAUAGAGGUAGUAACUGGCCUUUAUUUGACGGUAAUUACUUAGAAAGUCACGGCUAACUACGUGCCAGCAGCCGCGGUAAUACGUAGGUGGCAAGCGUUGUUCGGAUUUAUUGGGCGUAAAGCGAGUGCAGGCGGUUCAAUAAGUCUGAUGUGAAAGCCUUCGGCUCAACCGGAGAAUUGCAUCAGAAACUGUUGAACUUGAGUGCAGAAGAGGAGAGUGGAACUCCAUGUGUAGCGGUGGAAUGCGUAGAUAUAUGGAAGAACACCAGUGGCGAAGGCGGCUCUCUGGUCUGCAACUGACGCUGAGGCUCGAAAGCAUGGGUAGCGAACAGGAUUAGAUACCCUGGUAGUCCAUGCCGUAAACGAUGAGUGCUAAGUGUUGGGAGGUUUCCGCCUCUCAGUGCUGCAGCUAACGCAUUAAGCACUCCGCCUGGGGAGUACGACCGCAAGGUUG